rnacentral:rRNA from 1 species
UACAGAACCCCCAAGCGUUAUCCGGAUUUAUUGGGCGUGAAGAGUUCGUAGGUGGUUUGUUAAGUUUUUUGUUAAAAUUCCAGGGCUUAACCUUGGAAGUGCGAAAAAUACUGGCAAACUUGAGGGCGUUAGGGGCUGAUGGAACCGACGGUGUAGGGGUGAAAUCCGUUGAUAUCGUCGGGAACACCAAAAGCGAAGGCAUUCAGCUGGAACGACCCUGACACUGAAGAACGAAAGCGUGGGGA